AUUGAACGCUGGCGGCAUGCCUUACACAUGCAAGUCGAACGGCAGCGGGGGAGAAGCUUGCUUUUCCUGCCGGCGAGUGGCGAACGGGUGAGUAAUACAUCGGAACGUGCCCUGUAGUGGGGGAUAACUAGUCGAAAGAUUAGCUAAUACCGCAUACGACCUGAGGGUGAAAGUGGGGGACCGCAAGGCCUCAUGCUAUAGGAGCGGCCGAUGUCUGAUUAGCUAGUUGGUGGGGUAAAGGCCUACCAAGGCGACGAUCAGUAGCUGGUCUGAGAGGACGAUCAGCCACACUGGGACUGAGACACGGCCCAGACUCCUACGGGAGGCAGCAGUGGGGAAUUUUGGACAAUGGGCGAAAGCCUGGUCCAGCAAUGCCGCGUGUGUGAAGAAGGCCUUCGGGUUGUAAAGCACUUUUGUCCGGAAAGAAAUGGCUCUGGUUAAUACCUGGUGUCGAUGACGGUACCGGAAGAAUAAGGACCGGCUAACUACGUGCCAGCAGCCGCAGUAA
rnacentral:rRNA from 1 species